GUUUAAUUCGACGAUACGCGAAGAACCUUACCUGGCCUUGACAUAGAAAGAACUUACUAGAGAUAGUUUGGUGCUAGCUUGCUAGAACUUUCAUACAGGUGCUGCACGGCUGUCGUCAGCUCGUGUCGUGAGAUGUUGGGUUAAGUCCCGCAACGAGCGCAACCCUCGUGUUUAGUUACUAACAGUUCGGCUGAGGACUCUAGACAGACUGCCUGGGUAACCAGGAGGAAGGUGAGGACGACGUCAAGUCAUCAUGGCCCUUACGGCCAGGGCUACACACGUGCUACAAUGGGGUAUACAAAGAGCCGCAAUACCGUGAGGUGGAGCAAAUCUCAUAAAAUAUCUCCCAGUUCGGAUUGAAGUCUGCAACUCGACUUCAUGAAGUUGGAAUCGCUAGUAAUCGUGAAUCAGCAAGUCACGGUGAAUACGUUCCCGGGUCUUGUACUCACC
rnacentral:rRNA from 1 species